CCACCUAAGACUCCCCGAGUUUGACCUCGAAUCAGGCAGGGAUACCCGCUGAACUUAAGCAUAUCAAUAAGCGGAGGAAAAGAAACCAACAGGGAUUGCCUCAGUAACGGCGAGUGAAGCGGCAACAGCUCAAAUUUGAAAUCUGGCGUCCUUUGGGCGUCCGAGUUGUAAUUUGAAGAGGGUGCUUUGGCGUUGACGGCGGUCUAAGUCCCUUAAAACAGGGCAUCACAGAGGGUGAGAAUCCCGUAUGUGGCCGCAAGCCUUCGCCGUGUAAAGCCCCUUCGACGAGUCGAGUUGUUUGGGAAUGCAGCUCUAAAUGGGAGGUAAAUAUCUUCUAAAGCUAAAUACCGGCCAGAGACCGAUAGCGCACAAGUAGAGUGAUCGAAAGAUGAAAAGCACUUUGGAAAGAGAGUCAAACAGCACGUGAAAUUGUUGAAAGGGAAGCGCUUGCAGCCAGACUUGCUCGCAGUUGCUCAUCCGGGCUCUCGCCCGGUGCACUCUUCUGCGGGCAGGCCAGCAUCAGUUUGGGCACCCGGAUAAAGACCUCUGUCACGUAUCUUCCUUCGAUGUCCCUUAUAGGGGAGGUGUAAUGCGGCUAGCCCGGAC
rnacentral:rRNA from 1 species